UACGUAGGGUGCAAGCGUUGUCCGGAAUUAUUGGGCGUAAAGAGCUCGUAGGCGGUCUGUCGCGUCGAAUGUGAAAACCCGGGGCUCAACCCCGGGCCUGCAUUCGAUACGGGCAGACUAGAGUUCGGUAGGGGAGUCUGGAAUUCCUGGUGUAGCGGUGAGAUGCGCAGAUAUCAGGAGGAACACCGGUGGCGAAGGCGGGACUCUGGGCCGAUACUGACGCUGAGGAGCGAAAGCGUGGGAGCAAACAGG
rnacentral:rRNA from 1 species